rnacentral:rRNA from 1 species
UUUAAAUUGAGAGUUUGAUCCUGGCUCAGGAUGAACGCUGGUGGCGUGCCUAAUACAUGCAAGUCGUACGCUAGCCGCUGAAUUGAUCCUUCGGGUGAAGUGAGGCAAUGACUAGAGUGGCGAACUGGUGAGUAACACGUAAGAAACCUGCCCUUUAGUGGGGGAUAACAUUUGGAAACAGAUGCUAAUACCGCGUAACAACAAAUCACAC